AGUGAACGCUGGCGGUAGGCCUAACACAUGCAAGUCGAACGGCAGCACAGUAAGAGCUUGCUCUUACGGGUGGCGAGUGGCGGACGGGUGAGGAAUACAUCGGAAUCUACUUUUUCGUGGGGGAUAGCGUAGGGAAACUUACGCUAAUACCGCAUACGACCUACGGGUGAAAGCAGGGGAUCUUCGGACCUUGCGCGAUUGAAUGAGCCGAUGUCGGAUUAGCUAGUUGGCGGGGUAAAGGCCCACCAAGGCGACGAUCCGUAGCUGGUCUGGGAGGAUGAUCAGCCACACUGGAACUGAGACACGGUCCAGACUCCUACGGGAGGCAGCAGUGGGGAAUAUUGGACAAUGGGCGCAAGCCUGAUCCAGCCAUACCGCGUGGGUGAAGAAGGCCUUCGGGUUGUAAAGCCCUUUUGUUGGGAAAGAAAAGCAGCAGGUUAAUACCCCGCUGUUCUGACGGUACCCAAAGAAUAAGCACCGGCUAACUUCGUG
rnacentral:rRNA from 1 species